rnacentral:rRNA from 1 species
UCGCACGAGAAAAGGGCUUCGGCCCCGAGUAAAGUGGCGGACGGGUGAGUAACACGUGGAUAAUCUGCCCUUCGAUGGGGGAUAACAGUCCGAAAGGAUUGCUAAUACCGCAUUCGUCGGCGAGGUCUUCGGACUUUGUCGGGAAAGCCGCCCUCUUCAUGAAAGGUGGCGUCGGAGGAUGAGUCCGCGGCCCAUCAGCUAGUUGGUAGGGUAAUGGCCUACCAAGGCUUAGACGGGUAGCUGGUCUGAGAGGAUGAUCAGCCACACUGGGACUGAGACACGGCCCAGACUCCUACGGGAGGCAGCAGUGGGGAAUAUUGGGCAAUGGGCGCAAGCCUGACCCAGCCACGCCGCGUGAGUGAUGAAGGCCUUCGGGUCGUAAAGCUCUGUGGGGAGGGACGAAAACCUGCAGCCUAAUACGCUGCAGACUGACGGUACCUCCUUAGCAAGCACCGGCUAACUCCGUGCCAGCAGCCGCGGUAAUACGGAGGGUGCAAACGUUG